AUUGAACGCUGGCGGCAUGCUUUACACAUGCAAGUCGAACGGUAACAGGCCUUCGGGUGCUGACGAGUGGCGAACGGGUGAGUAAUGCAUCGGAACGUGCCCAAUCGUGGGGGAUAACGUAGCGAAAGUUACGCUAAUACCGCAUAAGCCCUGAGGGGGAAAGCAGGGGAUCGCAAGACCUUGCGCGAAUGGAGCGGCCGAUGUCAGAUUAGCUAGUUGGUGGGGUAAAGGCCUACCAAGGCGACGAUCUGUAGCGGGUCUGAGAGGAUGAUCCGCCACACUGGGACUGAGACACGGCCCAGACUCCUACGGGAGGCAGCAGUGGGGAAUUUUGGACAAUGGGCGCAAGCCUGAUCCAGCCAUGCCGCGUGCGGGACGAAGGCCUCGGUUGUAACC
rnacentral:rRNA from 1 species